GAAAUGCGAUAAGUAAUGUGAAUUGCAGAAUUCAGUGAAUCAUCGAAUCUUUGAACGCACAUUGCGCCCUUUGGUAUUCCGAAGGGCAUGCCUGUUCGAGCGUCAUUUCACCACUCAAGCCUGGCUUGGUGUUGGGCGUCGCGGCGGUCCGCCGUCCGCGCGCCUCAAAGUCCCCCGGCUGAGUCGUCCGUCCUCAAGCGUUGUGGUACAUAAUCGCUUCGGGGUGCGGGUGGCCGCGGCCGUUAAAUCUUGCACAAGGUUGACCUCGGAUCAGGUAGGGAUACCCGCUGAACUUAA
rnacentral:misc_RNA from 1 species